AUCGGAGUGAUUACAAAAGUGAUUCAAAGAAUUAACUUUGAACUGUUAUAAAUUAUUUAUAAGUUUGAAAUAUAUGCUAGCUCAAGUGACCAUCCUCAAUAAGAAGUAUAGAAGAGUUACUUAGACUUAUAAGAAGGUCGGGCCCACCGGCGCUUAACACCAUCCACAGCAGCACAAUUCUAGUACCUGCGACAACAUGGGUUCGAAAACCCUGAGUACGAAGUGUACUUUCGCAAGUCUUACCCGUCUAAGGAAAAAGACUCUUAAGGAUAUGUUGGCUUUUGGGAAUCAAGGUAAAGCUUAUCAAGAAUCAAAGACUCUGUUUGCAGAAAGCUUACUAUGAGUGGAUCCUUAAAAUCCAUUUUUUACUUGUCAGUUAAGUAAAGUUACCUGCAUCUAGAGUUCUUUCUAUUCUAGUUCAAGCACUUGGCCUGCACUAGCCGUUUUUUAUCACCCCUUUACUUUACUGGAUUGCUACGUGUAAGUCAGUGACCAAGUCUUCAUGUCCGAGAAGUAAUGGCGAUCCGAAUCGAUUAAUACCCAGCUGGGGAUCUCCAAUCACACGACAUAUGUAGCACUUAACCCUUGCAUAUGUCAACUCGCCACUGGGUUUCUUAAGACCAGACCAGGUUCACGCCAACCGAGAGCACAGAUACACCACCGUCCAGCCUCUUGCCAUGGAGGGUACACGCUACUCUCGACAUCUCCCCACUCCCAUUGUGUGUUGGCCUUUCUGGUAUUAGUCUGCCCGAGGCAAAGCUUACCCAUGAUGAGGCAUGUGGCCAGUUAAAAGGUCCUCGAUCAUCAGGCCUACAUCGGCACGGUCCUUAAUCGACUCAGAUGGAGACACUACACCGAGACUCCCUUCUCGUGCAAGUCAACCGCCUGGUCUCAGCUUUAUCAUUUAAAACCCAAAGUUUGGUACCUGGCAGAGGUACAUCUUUUCAGAUGUUGAACCCAUCACGGCCAUGAUGGAUUCACCAUCAAGUUUUAAUUUUGAAAACUUCCC
rnacentral:lncRNA from 1 species